rnacentral:rRNA from 1 species
UACGUAGGGGGCGAGCGUUGUCCGGAGUUACUGGGCGUAAAGCGCACGCAGGCGGUCUGCUAAGUUUGGAGUGACAGUUGGUGGCUUAACUGCCAAAGUGCUUCGAAAACUGACAGACUUGAGGGCUUCAGAGGGACACGGAAUUCCGGGUGGAGUGGUGAAAUGCGUAGAGAUCCGGAGGAACACCAAAGGCGAAGGCGGUCUGCUGGGCAGUAGCUGACACUGAGGCGCGACAGCGUGGGGAGCAAACAGG